CUAGACUUGACUGCUGUCAAAUACUGGCUGCAAGUGAGAUGGGUUUCCUGAAUGCUGUGUUUUACUUGGUGACAUAUCCUGAACCUUUGGGAAGAGCUUUUUCAAAUAAGCUUUUCUCAAGUUUUUUGCAGAUGUCUUUUUUUUUUUUCUUUCUUUCUUCUUAUAAGGAGUACUAGGCUAUCACAGCAUUGGAAAUGCUGAUAAAUUGGUGUAAAAGUCUUGUCUGCUAUUCCUUUCCCUAUCUAAUGUUCAUCUCUGCACUGUCCUCAGAACAUGUCCUGCCCAUAGUUGCUCUGUUAACUUGUCCCUGCUCAUAACACCCUGCACAAAAACCACAACUGGGUGCUUUUUGGUCUGAUUAAAAUCACGCUGUGCAAUAGGAAAUACAAAUUAGCUCUGGCCUUUGGGCUCCUGACAAGUUUCCAGUGCUGCUUUCAGCACCACGCAGAUUGUGUAACUCCAUCCGUGCGUCCUCCGUGUGGUGACGUCUCCCCCUCCGUCAUGAGCUGGGCUGGCUGCCACACAUCCAGGUUCAGCUGUUAAUACUUCAAGCAGCUUUUAGAACUGAAGGAGGAAGAGAGAUUGCCAGCAGCCUUGUGAAAUGCGGAAACCAGCUUUUUCUUGCUAGGAGACAGUGUGGGAAGGGGCAAAAAGAGGGUUUUUUCUAGGUAAUUCCCCAAAUCUUGAUGUUUGUGCAAAUACCUCCCUGUCUAAUGAGCAAUUGGGGAGCUCAGCACCAGGACAGCCAAUGCUUCAGUACAGGAUUAACCUCUGAAGGAAGAGCACAGUAGCAUCUUAUACAAACUGUGGCUUAAGUUUGCCUGGCCAUGAAGCACACAGCACUUUCCUGCCUCCUCCAAGGAUUCAAGCCAGGCAACUAUGUUGCAUCAUUUCAGCAUUGCUAACAGAAGGGCUCAGGCAGCAGCUACCGUGUCAUGCCUUCAACAGAAACCUUUAAGUCUCGGCAACUUCCUCUGAGGAUGCUGAAGCAAACACUGUCCAGACCUGCAAGUGAACAAGUUACAAAUGACAUCUCUGGUUCGAAAUGCCUCAGUUGCUGCUGGGCCAUCUCUCUGUCUGCUGAGUAUAAUCUCUGGUGUUUAUUUAACCACCCUUGGCCUGCUGGGUGAGAGCCACCAUCCUCGGACUGAUGGCUACACCUGAAACACAACACAUAUGCAUUUUUAUGGCCAAUUUGGACAAAGUCAUCCCUCCAGAUGGUAACUGCAACUUCUAGAUAAGACCUGACAUGUGACAACCUAAGAAACACCAAACUGAGGAGGGAAGGAAGGAAUUGUCCAUUUUCAGACGCCAGCGUGGCUACAUAUACUGACACUGUUGCACAAACACAAACAAUUUUAUCUGGAACAGUUGCCUCUUGGUAGUUGUUCCAUUACCUGUAAUUGAUUAUGCCAGAGCUUGCAGCCUCUAUGAUCAGAAAGCAACUUCCUCUGUGUGUUUUUGAAUCAGAUUAAUAAAGGGAAACAAUAUUUCUACUGAGAAAGCCUC
rnacentral:lncRNA from 1 species